UAACCUGCCCAAGAGAUCGGGAUAACACCUGGAAACAGAUGCUAAUACCGGAUAACAACAGAUGAUGCCUAUCAACUGUUUAAAAGAUGGUUCUGCUAUCACUCUUGGAUGGACCUGCGGUGCAUUAGCUAGUUGGUAGGGUAACGGCCUACCAAGGCGAUGAUGCAUAGCCGAGUUGAGAGACUGAUCGGCCACAUUGAGACUGAGACACGGCCCAAACUCCUACGGGAGGCAGCAGUC
rnacentral:rRNA from 1 species